rnacentral:misc_RNA from 1 species
UACAAGAUGGACGUAAUUUUGUCGUCGUCCAAUUGCAAUUUUUACUUUAUUUUUUGUUUGUGAAAACUAUCUGAAAUCAAUAUCAUACAACACAAUACAAGUAAAAGUUCUGGUAAAAAAAUUAUAAGUAAAAAAUUUGUUGGAAACAUACACAGAUAUACAAAAGCGUGUUUUUCUUGAUUAACUUUUUGUAUUGCUACGCCUCUGCGGUUUUUUCCAAUAGUGUGUACAUAGGUGCGCGCGUGUGUGUAUUGCAGAAAACGACAGUUUUUUGUUUGGUGAAAAAUCGAAGUGUGUUACGCCGCUGCAUCUGCAUUGGUUCAACGGUUCGUGUUACAUAUUCCCGUUGUUGAAACGACGUUGCAACCGAAGCUACGGCGACACUAACAGCGCAACAGAAGACGCUUGAAAACUGCAGAAACAUACAUAACAAGAUUAAGUCACAUAUCUACUACGCCAACGAAAUUCAAAAAAAAAGUAUAAAUAGCUAACAGCUGUAGGAAAACAACUGAGCCUUGCUCACAUCUUGUCAUCAUUAUUCACCUUCAUACCUACAAAUAUAUAGCAUACUUUCAUCUCGAUCGUAAAUCAAAUUAUUUACAUUGAAUAAUUACCAACAUGACUGAGGAUACAGAAUACAAAAAAUUACCUGUGGAUGAACGUUGUGUGCACAAAUUGUGGAAGGCGCGCGUGGAUGGUUACGAGGAAGCGGCGAAAAUUUUUCGUGAAAUUGACGAUGAGAAGUCACCGGAAUGGAUGAAAUUUUUGGGUCUCAUUAAGAAGAUGGUUGUCGAUUCGAAUGUGGUCGCACAGGAGAAAGGUCUUGAAGCGGCAUUAAUAUUUGUGGAGAAUUGCAGUCAAGCUGGUAAAACAGUGGGUGAUGUUAUGGCCGGCAUUGUGCAAAAAUGCAUUGCCGCACCGAAAGCCAAAACCAAAGAUUUGGCUGUGCAAGUGACGCUCAUGUAUAUUGAGAUCGAAAAACAUGAGGCCGUCAUUGAGGAACUCGUCAAAGGCAUGGAACAUAAAAAUCCAAAAAUUGUUGCCGCUUGUGUUGCGGCCACAACACUGGCGCUGCGCGAUUUCGGCAACAAAGUAGUGAGCGUAAAGCCGCUAAUUAAGAAACUAGCACCGCUAAUGAGCGAUCGUGACAAAACCGUGCGCGACGAGGGCAAACAACUGGCCGUCGAAAUAUAUCGCUGGAUUGGCGCCGCAAUGAAACCACAAAUCACCACAUUGCCGCAGGUCACACUUAAAGAACUCGAAGAUGAAUUCGACAAACUCAAGGGAGAAAAGGCUGAACCAUCAAGAUAUUUGAAGUCACAACAAGAGAAACAACAGCAAAUCUCGGCUGCUGCUGCCGAGCAGGAGGAGGCAGGAGAUGAUGAAGAUGGUGAGGGUGAAGAAUGCGUUGAUCCAAUAGACCUCAUCGAUCCUGUUGAUAUACUCUCGAAGAUGCCUAAAGAUUUCUAUGAAAAGUUGGAGGAGAAGAAAUGGACUUUGCGUAAGGAGUCAUUAGAGGCGCUCGAAAAACUUUUAACCGAGAAUCCCAAAUUGGAGAGUGGCGAAUACGGAGUGCUGGUGAACACACUCAAAAAGGUUAUCACGAAGGAUAGCAAUGUUGUUUUGGUGGCAAUGGCCGGCAAGAGCUUAGCGAUGUUAGCCAAUGGAUUGGGAAAACGUUUUGGAACUUAUGCUAUGGCCUGCGUUCCGUCACUCUUGGAAAAGUUCAAAGAGAAGAAAGCCAAUGUUGUCGCCGCACUACGUGAAUCCAUGGAUGCGAUCUAUCCCUCCACGAAUCUGGAAGCGAUGCAGGAAUGCAUUGUAGAAUCGUUGGGAAAUAAAAAUCCUAGCGUUAAAUCUGAAACGGCUUUCUUCCUAGCACGUGCCUUUGCACGCACGCAACCGACCGCAAUCAAUAAGAAACUACUAAAAUUGCUUGUAACUACACUGAUUAAGACACUAAAUGAACCUGAUCCUACAGUACGUGACGCCUCAGCCGAAGCACUGGGCACACUGCUUAAGCUGAUGGGUGACAAGUCCGUUGGACCCUUCUUAGUAGAGGUGGAUGCGUUGAAGAUGGCCAAAAUCAAAGAAUGCCAGGAGAAGGCUGAGAUUAAAGUUAAGGUGGUGGGCGUCAAAAAGGAGCGUCCUGCUACAGCGCCGGCAUCGAAAACUUCAGUGGCAGCCGCCUCGUCAGCUGGUAAUGUGGCUUCCGGGGCAUCUUCCCGAAGCGGCUCUACCGAACCGAAACCAGGGUCACGACCCGCUACCGCAGGCAGCAAAAAACAAGUAACCAAACGCGCUGCGGGAGGUGGCGGUGCAGGCGGGGGCGCACCUCUUGCCAAAUCCGCCAGUAGCGCUAAAGUGCAGACCACUGAGCGUGAAAUGUCACUAGAAGAAGUUCAAGCUAAGGCUGAGGAACUGUUACCGGCCGAUGUGCUAGCCGGUUUAAUAGACUCGAACUGGAAGAACCGUUUAGCAGCGUGCGAAAAUGUAUUGCAAAUUAUUGGCGAUUUCGAUGUUAAGCAAUCGGGUGUAUCACAGGUACUAGUGCGUACGAUUAGCGCACGCAAACCGGGCUUAAAGGAGAUGAACUUCCAAGUGCUAAAGCAUAAACUUGAUAUAAUACGCAUUGUGGCCGAAACCUAUCCGCUGACAACAACCACAAUCGAUUUGGUAGUUAAUGAAGUGACAGAGAAAUUGGCUGACAUUAAAAAUGGCUCCACCGCGGCUGAUGUGUUGACCGCCUUUGCUGAAGCUACCAAACUGGAGCAUAUAGUUGGCCGUGUACUCACUUUCGCCUUCGAGCAAAAAUCGCCAAAAGUGCAAUCCGAAGCCUUGAAUUGGGUGAGCAAAGCCAUAAUCGAGUUUGGUUUUCAAAUACAACCCAAAUUGCUGCUGGAUGACGUACGUAAGGCGGUGCAAAGCACCAAUCCUACAGUCCGCAGUGCCGCCAUCGGUCUACUCGGCACGAUGUCUAUGUACAUGGGUAGCACGCUAAUGAUGUUCUUCGAAAGUGAGAAACCUGCAUUGAAGUCACAAAUACAAACCGAGAUGGACAAAAAUGCUGGUGAAAAGCCACCGAAACCAGUGCGUGGCGUUAAGAAGACGGCUGCCAGCGCCAGCAGUGCCGCUGGCUCCGGUUAUGCGGACGAUGACGCAGGCGAUGAUGAUGAGCCGCAAGAGCAAAUUAAUUUGGCUGAUAUGUUACCACGCGUCGAUAUCGCAUCACAAAUCACCGAGUCACUGCUGAAAGAGAUGUCCGACAAGGACUGGAAAACACGCAAUGAGGGUCUCAAUAAACUACAAACUAUUAUAAGCGAAGCGAGGUUGAUUAAACCAACAAUUGGUGAUUUAGCGCCAGCACUGGCGUUACGCCUUGUCGACUCGAAUGCAAAAAUUGCACAAACCGCCAUGUCCAUAUGUGAACAGCUCGCAAAUGCCAUGGGUUCGAGUUGUAAGAGUCAUGUGCGCACACUUUUCCCCGGUUUCUUACAUGCACUCGGCGAUAAUAAGGCCGCUGUACGCUCUGCCGCCUUGAAUUGCAUCAAUAGUUUUGGCGAAAAAGGUGGCUACAAAGAAUUCUUCGAAAGUGAAAUGAUUGCCGAUGCACUGAAAACCGGCUCACCGGCUCUUAAAUCCGAACUAUGGGGUUGGCUAGCCGAGCGUUUGCCACAAAUGCCUCCCAAAUCCAUACCGAAAGAAGAGUUAACCUCGAUGGUACCGCAUUUGUAUGCGCACAUCUGUGAUCGCAAUGUGGAUGUGCGCAAGAAUGCCAAUGAGGCGGUGUUGGGCAUAAUGAUACAUUUAGGUUUCGAGAAUAUGGUAAAAGCGUUGGAUAAGCAGAAACCCGCUUCUAAAAAGGACAUACAAGCGGCAUUAGAUAAAGCACGUCCAAAUUUGCCGGUGAAACCGUUACCUAAAGGCAAACAGCAGGCACCCAUUGAAGAGCCAGCAAAGAAGACAGUACGCGGCGGUGGCGCGCAGAAAAAUGCUGCUACCAAGGGCGGCGCAGCAGGUGCGGCGGAUAAGACUGGCGGUUCGUCGCGUAAGAAAGACGAAGACGUCGACACGUCACCACUAUUGGCGGUGAAUAAUUCCAAAAAUCAACGUUUGAUUGACGAGCAGAAAAUGCGGGUAUUGAAGUGGACCUUCACAACACCACGAGAGGAAUUUAUCGAGCUGCUGCGCGAACAAAUGACUACGGCCAAUGUUAACAAAGGACUAAUGGCCAAUAUGUUUCACGACGACUUUAGGUACCAUUUGAAAGUUAUCGAGGCUUUGAACGAAGAUUUGCCCAACAACAGCAAAGCAUUAGUCUGUAAUCUGGAUUUAAUACUGAAAUGGCUUUCACUGCGUUUUUACGAUACAAAUCCUUCAGUUUUGCUGAAGGGCCUCGAGUAUCUUAACCAAGUUUUCCAGACAUUGGUUGAAAUGGAGUAUAUACUGGCAGAGAAUGAAGGCAGCGCAUUCAUACCACAUUUGCUCCUAAAGCUCGGCGAUCCUAAAGACGCUGUACGCGUUGGUGUACGCUCUCUGCUACGUCAAAUCUUGCUCGUCUAUCCCUACACAAAAGUAUUUGCCUACGUUAUGGAUGGCCUCAAGUCUAAGAAUGCCCGUCAGCGUACCGAAUGCUUGGACGAGCUCGGCUAUUUGAUUGAAAACUAUGGGCUAACCGUGUGCCAGCCAUCGCAACAGGUGGCAUUGAAAGAGAUAGCACGGCACAUUUCCGAUCGUGAUAAUUCGGUGCGCAAUGCAGCUCUGAAUUCAGUUGUACAAGCAUAUUUCUUAGCUGGCGAAAAGGUAUACAAACUGAUUGGACAACUAAAUGAAAAAGACCUGUCCAUGUUGGAUGAACGCAUAAAGCGCGCCAAAAAGACGCGUAAGCCUACAACAGUUGCCGCAGAUACGACGACGGCGGUGGGAGGCUGCGUUGCAGGUGGCGUCGGUGGUGGUGCCAAAUCGGGUGCACAGGUGGUGCAACAGGAUAGCAUUGAAAUCGAGGAGCACACAACAAAUGGCGACUACGAUGAGCUACCGCCGCCCGACGAGCAGCCAAUGCCGGCAGCAAGUGUGCAAUUGCAAACGAAUGCGUAUGAAGCAAAUGCCAGUAUGGAUGAGAAAGACAAGCGCGCCUCUUCGCUCAUAAGACAAGCGACAUUCGAUCAGCCCGCAUCAACCCAGUAUCUAUAUCAACAGCCCAAAACGAGUGGACCCUUUGGUUUGGAUCCGGACGUAAUAGCGGAAAUCGAAAAAGGUUGGGUACGCGUCGAUCAAAUGCAGCUGGUGGUGCUGCCACCAGUCGAUGUGUCACUACUGCAUGAGCCCAUCAAAGUAAUACCAACACGUGACAAUGUAAAAUAUCCUGAGGAGAAAUUCCAGCAAUUAAUUUCGCGUUCGCAUUAUAUGCAACAGGGUGUGCUUAGUACACCGCCGUCAGCGUCAGCUAUUGCAGCCGGUGGCGGUUGUGCAUCGCCGUAUAUGAGCCCUCAGCAGCAUAUUCAUCACCAACAGCAGCUGAAUGCAACUGGUUAUGGUGGCGGUGGCAUCGGUUGUGGCAGUAGUGGCAGUAUCCAUCCAACGGCUAACCUUGUUGAUGUCCUCCCCAAGCAUGAUCCUCAACUAAUCAAAAUGAUCAAGUCAAUAAGCAGCGUGGAUACGCUUAAAGCACGCGCUGCCAUCAGUGAACUUGCCGAGAUUAUCGACUCACCAGAAAAGCAGGCUGUGCUCCGCGACUAUGAGGAAAUUUUCAUACAAAAUGUAUUGGCACAGUUCAAAAAUCUUUCGCAGGUGCCGAUCACCGAGUCUUUGGUUGUGUACCAACCACUAUUAUCCAUACUCUACUCGUUUUUCCACUCCAAAACGUUGGGUAAAACGCUGAGUGUUGCCUGCAUCAAGAAUUUAAUGUCAGCGCUGCUAAAUCUCAUGGCCGAUCAGAAGCUGAAUACCGGCGAUGAUGGUCAAUAUAAUAAAGUUAUCAACGGCAUUUGCUUAAAGGUGUUGGAUAAAGCGAAUUUUACGAAUUUAAACUGCGCACUAAUACGGCUGUUGCGCGAAACCUGCCCGGUAGCUGGCUUGCCGAAAUUCACCGAUCUGCUGAUGAAAUGUAUUUGGCGAAAUGUGAAAAUGUUACCCGAACGCACCAAUGAACUGAAUUAUGAUGCCGUUAUAUUGGAGGUGCAUGAAUUUAUGUUGGCUUUGCCAAGCAGCUGGUGGCAAACUCGUCCAUCCGACACACCCUUGCGCACGGUCAAGACGAUCAUUCACAAUAUGGCCAAAGUGAAAGGCAAUGCCAUAUUGAAUCAUCUCAAUCAGAUACCUACCCACUCAGAGCUACAUACAUAUUUGAUAAAAAUAUUGAAGAAUUUGGCUAAGGAGGGUCACAUACCGAGCGCCUCACCACAACGUUCCGGCUCGGCUAAGGAUUUGCAUGGCAAACGUAUCUCGAAUCAAACGCAUGAGACAAUGUCACAGAUUUUCAAACUAAUCUCAGAUAAAGAAACAAAACAACAAGGACUGCUGAAGCUCUACGAGUUUAAGGUACAAAAUUCCGAAAUUGACUUGACAACGUUCCUCAAAGGCGCCAGUCCCAGCUUCCAGAAGUACAUUGAAGAUGGUUUGGCCGACAUCGAACGCGCUGUAGCACAGUCCGGUGGUGCGGGCGACGGCCUACAGCGUGCACAAAAUGGUGAUAAUCGCGUAGCCUCAUCACGUUAUUCUUAUCUGACAGAUGCCAAUUUCCAGUACCAAACAACAACGGCUAGUGGUUUGGGCAACAGCAGUGGUGGCAGCGCGGGCGGUGCCAAGACAGCGGAUCCGGACUUUUGGAUGGAUCGCUUGAAUCACCUCAUCUCGAAGGCGAAUCUCGGUCGCAACGCGGACGGCAUGAGCGGCACGCACACUAUGCUCGUGGACAAUAAAGAGGCAGAUGAAAAUCUCAAUUUGAACACAAUGAAUGCGCAGCAGAAGAUGUCUUCGCUCAUACGCAGAGAUGUGAGUAAGCCUGAAUUAUCGCAGAAUCGCCUGCAGCACCUACAAGCCAAACUGGCGGCGUUCAAGAAGGAAAACCACGCAUAGAUUAACAUGCCAUCAUGAAUGUGGAACUCAACUGCAGGUAUACUUGGGCUUUCGAAGCUUGGUGUGAUGGACUUUUCAUAGAAGUGAACAUAUAUACUAAAUAAAAAUUAAACAACAACAAGCUUUGUAGUAUUGUGGCGCCGAAAAUAUACAAUAACAAAAAAAAAAAAAACGCCGAAAGAAGUAGACAAUGCGCUGCAUAUGUAAAACUUUAAAAACCGAAAGAAAUGCGCUAAAACAUAUUUGAAUGAACCAAUAACUCACUAUAAGCGUGGCUGCAACAUAUUUACGAAAGCAAAAACAAAAAAGCCAUCUCGAAUUAACGCUCCGCUCAUUCGCUCAUUGUUCUACGCUAAUUUUAAGUCAUACUUUGUUGAAACUUAAUUUUUGUUCACUAAAAAGCUGCGAUUUCUGCAGUAAAUUAAAACAAAAAGGAAAACUAUUUCUAAUAUACACAUACAUACAUAAUUCUUAGAUAUGUUUUAUUGUUAAAAUUAUACGCUACUAAGUUUCUAUUUUAAUAUACAUAUUUUCAUGUUACGUUAACGUUGAAUUUAUUAAUGAUAUACGCAUUAAAAAUAUUUAAAUAUAUAUAUACUCGUAUAAAAGAAAAUGUAUCAAAUAUUCGUUUAAGCUCAAACACACAAGCAGAACAAACACACAUCUACACAUAAAUAACACGUUAAUACAAUGAAAUGAAGCGCUAGUCGCCUUCACUUAAUGUCACUAAAAUAUUAUUGUUUUUACUAUUAAUUAUUCUUUAUGUUGUUUUGUAUUAAAGUCGCGUCUUCUUGUUGCGCUGCAAA